GACGAACGCUGGCGGCGUGCUUAACACAUGCAAGUCGAACGGAAAGGCCCUGCUGUUGUUGGCUGCUCGAUUGGCGAACGGGUGAGUAACACGUGAGUAACCUGCCCUUGACUUUGGGGUGACUUCAGGAAACUGGGGCUAAUACCGGAUAGUAGCUCCUGCUGCAUAGUGUGGGUUGGAAAGUUUCGGCGGUUGGGGAUGGACUCGCGGCUUAUCAGCUUGUUGGUGGGGUAGUGGCUUACCAAGGCUUUGACGGGUCGCCGGCCUGAGAGGGUGACCGGCCACAUUGGGACUGAGAUACGGCCCAGACUCCUACGGGAGGCAGCAGUGGGGAAUAUUGCACAAUGGGCGGAAGCCUGAUGCAGCAACGCCGCGUGCGGGAUGACGGCCUUCGGGUUGUAAACCGCUUUCGCCUGUGACGAAGCGUGAGUGACGGUAAUGGGUAAAGAAGCACCGGCUAACUACGUG
rnacentral:rRNA from 1 species